rnacentral:rRNA from 1 species
UACGAAGGGUGCAAGCGUUAAUCGGAAUGACUGGGCGUAAAGGGUGCGUAGGUGGUACGUUAAGUCGGAUGUGAAAGCCCCGGGCUCAACCUGGGAAUGGCAUCUGAUACUGGCGUACUAGAGUUCGAUAGAGGGUUGCGGAAUUCCCGGUGUAGCGGUGAAAUGCGUAGAGAUCGGGAGGAACAUCAGUGGCGAAGGCGGCAACCUGGAUCCGAACUGACACUAAGGCACGAAAGCGUGGGUAGCAAACAGG